GGGAAAACAGGGCGCAUUUUCUAACAUGUCAGCACCCCCAGACCACCCAGGCCCCCGUCAGAAAAAUACUGGCUCCAUGAUCAGCUUUGAAACAACUUUAUUAGAAGGCUGCUUUAAAUGACAACUUCUAACGUCCAAUUCUUUCUUAAUUUGCUUUUUGACGACUCCAGUUAUAUGUUCAUAUAUAACAAUUUUUGCAUUGAUCUUUGCAUCCUAUUGAAGAUUUCCUCAUCAGGUCAUUCUGGUGGAAUGGAAGUGCAACCGUGAGGUCGCCAGUUGGCCGGCAUUGUUAAGCAAGGGCAGCAGAAGGCUGGGAGGGACGGAGCCAGUCCCCCACCCUCUCCUCCAGCCCCCGCCCACCACAAAUUCACAGUGAGAGGCACCUCACUGCCUUGACAUUCAGAAAAGAGUGAAAUAAAGAAACCCUCGCAGCGCAGGAAAUAACUGGAUUCCACCUUCAAGGUUAUUGAGGUUCCUCCCUCUCUCUCCACGCCCCCAGUCAAACCCUGAAAUCCUAAGGCUGGGGGCAAGCCCUUCCCCAACCUGCCAAAGGAAAGGAGCCAGGGCUGCUGCCUUCUGGCCGCUUUUCUGCCUCCAGUCCCAAAAGGAAUUUCUCUGGACAGAUGUGACUGCAGCGGCCCAAGGCCCCCCUUCUCCUCCUCCUCCCAUCCCACUGGGCGGGCUUGGGAAGGUACAAUCAACCAUGAACAUAAAUAUGAAUAAAAAAUGAACUUGAAAAUGACAA
rnacentral:lncRNA from 10 species